GAUGAACGCUAGCGGGAGGCUUAACACAUGCAAGUCGAGGGGCAGCAUAGGGUAGCAAUACUCUGAUGGCGACCGGCAAACGGGUGAGUAACGCGUAUGCAACCUACCCUGUACAGGGGGAUAACCCGGAGAAAUUCGGACUAAUAUCCCGUAAUAAUAUUCCGGAGGCAUCUUUGGAUAUUUAAAGUUCCGACGGUUACGGGAUGGGCAUGCGUAACAUUAACUGGUUGGUAAGGUAACGGCUUACCAAGGCUAUGAUGUUUAGGGGUCCUGGAGAGGGUGGUCCCCGACACGUGGUACUGAGACACGGACCAGACUCCUACGGGAGGCAGCAGUGAGGAAUAUUGGUCGAUGGGCGCAAGCCUGAACCAGCCAUCCCGCGUGCAGGAAGACGGCCCUAUGGGUUGUAAACUGCUUUUCCAGGGAGAGAAACUUACGCACGUGUUGCGUGACUGACGGUACCCUGGGAAUAAGCAUCGGCUAACUCCGUGCCAGCAGCCCGCGGUAAAAGUCACGUCG
rnacentral:rRNA from 1 species